UUUGCUGGCAUAUCAGAGUCACCCAAUAAGGGAAGGCAACCUUUUGAUUUUAACGUAGAGAAUAAACUGUUGCUGCAUUGCAAAUGAGCUCAACAGAUCCCAAGAGAAUUUCUUCUUGAUGCAAGACAGAAUCUAGAAUAUUAAAUAAGAUUUCUCAUUGUCAACUUUUAGCACACAUAAACUUUCCAGAGCUGAAAUCAGUGAUUCUGCAGGGCACUCCCCAUUAAGGAAACAGUGACACCAGAAAACCUACAACAUAUUAUAGAGCCAUAGACGCCAUAUUAGGAGGACUGGCUGCAUCUGGGAGGGCAUGCAUGGGUGAGGAAAUGGGUGCCUAGAGGGGUGUGUCAGGCAGGCAGCUGAUGUAAAGGAGCAGUUAAGGUUGUUGAGCACCUGACUUGAACUCAGGGCUCCUGACUUACCACAAAGUCUUAUCGACUCCAACAAAUCAGUGCUGCUUUUCAUCCCUUUGCAGAUGGCCUGCUAAGCCCCAGCUUGGAGCAUCUGAAUGGAGAUUCUGGGACGUCUGACCUCUGCAGUGAGAAGAUGCUGUGCCUGAGCCACUGCCCCACGAGCAUCUGGGUGCCGGGCUGCAUUCACGUAUUGCAGAGCCAGUCCAGCCGACCUGCAGACUUGCAGCCUGAAGCUGAGCCACGCAGCAGACAUGCUGAAUGGGAUUUGACUAUUUUUGUCUGUCACUGUGAUUGGGGGAUUGUUACACAGCAAUGCCUAACAGUUACAUGUGGUUUGCUUGGCCUCACCUUCGGGAGGUGCAGGAGUAAAGAAUCCGCCAGCCAGUACAGGAGAGACAGUGGAAUCCACAUAGAAGAGGCCCCUGAGGAUGCAUCUGGAUCGGGACUUCAUGGGCCAGAGCCAGCAGCUAACCCAGAGACUCUGCUGCUGUAA
rnacentral:lncRNA from 1 species